GGCUGGGUUUUUUACGGUUGAGCUCAAUUCGGGCCGAACCAAGAAGGUUAGCGAGUUGAAAAUGGCUGCUCAUGUCACUCCUUGGACAAGCUUCUACACUCAAGAUCAUGCUAGGCGUGACAUGGGUCAUAUCCAUCCGUCAGCAUGAAGAACCGGAACCGCUGCCAUUUUGCAUGAGGAAGUCUGGAGCUGCAUGAGUACUGACCAAGUUUCUGUGGAGAAAUGUGAGCCUUAAUCUGAAGUACGGAGAUUUUGAUUUGGCUUCAGAGGAACCGUAGCUUUCUAGUACUUCCUCCGAUCC